rnacentral:lncRNA from 1 species
AUCUGAAAUCUUGGCUGCCAUAUUUUCAUCCAAUAGAAUGUUUGAACUCUUCACAUCGCGGUGUAUCACUCUGUGCUGAACACUUGUACCUGUGUGAAGGUAGUCCAGUCCACGUGCAGCCCCAAUGCAAAUCUUGAGGCGUUGCUCCCAUGAUAGAGGAGGUGACGAAGAAACACCUUUCCUAGCCCUCUUAUGCAGAUGAUCAGCGAGGGUUCCACACGGCAUAUAUUCAUAAACAAGGAUCAUCUCAUGACAAUCGUCGCAGUAACCAACGAGAGAGACUAAAUGGCUGUGUUGAAACUUGGAAAGCAUCUCAAUCUCUGUAAGAAAUUCUUUGGGUCCUUGCUUCGACCCGGAUUUCAACCGUUUAAUAGCAACUGUAGUAGCUCCAAAAUCAAUGAUCCCUUUGUAAACCUUCCCAAACCCGCCCUGCCCAAUGACCAAUUCAUCGUGAAAGUUGAAUGUGGCCCACUGGAUAUCACGAAGUGAAAAGCGUCGACAUAAUUUUUGUAAAGACAAUGAUAACUGGUUGGUUUGCUGGGUAAAUUUUGCUUCUUGGAGUUGUUGAAGCUUGUAAACCAAAAUAUUCAAUAGAGUGAUCAGAAUUAUCACUCCAUUCGAAUUUUGUGUCAUUGGAACGGCUGUUGAAGCCGGACUAGGAACUGGGAAGAUUGUUGUUUGUCAAACAAGAAAGUAAUUGUCGGAAAUAUUAUUAACAGGGAGGCAAGGUAGUAGUUUAUAGCAAGAACUAACUUAGAUAAAAAAGAAAGUAACAUAAAUCCCAAUUUAGAAUUUAGAAGAAAAUAUUCCCAAAAAGAAUUCAAGAUCCACAAACAUGAAACUACACAGAGUUGACUUGACUGACUGCUGCAGUCAUCUACCGGAUGCUCAUUCGAGGAACUACUAGUAAAAGACCACAGGUCCACAACUAACGCUAAAGACACUAAUGGCAUACUUGAAAUUUGAAACUUUAGAGUAAACAAAGAAUACUGUAUAAUCAAUCUAUAAACUUAUUACAACUUUGUUAGUAAAUUUUUUAUUUUAUUUUAUUUUAUUUUUACCAACCAAGUGAACUAAAAAACUUUUCCAACGGAGUCACCAUCAAAUUCAAUUCCGACCAAAAAUAAAUUACAGCAGUGACAUAUAUAUAUAUAUAUAUAUAUGUAUAUAUAUAUAUAUAUAUGUAUGUAUUAUGUGCUCUGUGAACUGGUUUAAUAUUUUAUCGAGAAUACCUGUUGGACUUUCUUUGCCUAUGAUAUUUAAAAGCUCCAAGGAUCAGGCCACCUUAUUAUUCGAGUUUAAAGCAGCAGCUGCGAUGGUUGGGUCUUGGAAAUUAUCUAGUUUUAUUAUCUGUAUCUAGGCAACGUAAAUUCAGAUAUAUAGAUUGAUUCCUAAAGCGGAACAGAGGAGGACAGGUAUUAUUUCAAUUAAUAGGGAGGGAGGAGGAGGAGGAGGAGGAGGAGGAGGCGGCGGAAGGAAGUAGGGUGAGCUUUUAUUUUAUUUAAUUCGCCAUUAAUUUCAUGCCUACUCCCUUUACAAACAAGAAUAAUCUGUACUACACAGAAAAUAGUAACUUUGAAAAUUCAACACUACCGGGGAUACAAAUCAGUUAAUGAAUCGUCAUUUAAGGAGAAAUUAGCAGAUUCUUCUUUUUCUGGAUCAAUGCUACUUUGCAUAAAAAAUGCAGGCUCUGAAGGUAAUGCGAGAGUGAGAGAGAAGCUAUUGAGCAUAAGAGCAACUGAAGCCAUGGUAGGUCUCUCAGCUGCAUUUUCUUGUACACAUAGCAACCCAAUGUGGAUACAUCUCAUCAUUUCGCCUAAUGAACCUGAACUGCUUCUUAAUGUUGGAUCUAUAACAUUUGAAGCAGCUCCUGCUCGCCAAUUUUUCCAAGCCUGAAAUGAUAGUACGUAUAAGCUUUCAUGACUUGAGAAUGAUUUGGUUAGUGAUAAAGUUUAAGCAUGUUUGAACUUACAUAGUUUGCAAGGUCCUUUUCAUUCUCCCCAUUUCGGAAAAAAAUGUUCUUCUGACCACUUACUAUUUCCAGAACUAAUACGCCAAAGCUAAACACAUCGGACUUAACUGAGACCUCCCCAUACAUUACGUACUCUGGUGCCAUAUAUCCACUGCAAUGGUUACAUCUCUGUUAAUUGUCAAACUUGAGCCAGCGAACAUAAAACCACUUUUAUCUAAAUGUUUUCAGUAAAAAUGAAAUAAAUAUUGAGAAUUCUCAAGCGCACUAGUCACUAGUUGUAUAAAAUGGUGCAAGACUUACUAGGUUCCCACAAUUUUACUUGUAUUGCCUCGGGUUUCAUCUAGGUCGAACAACCUUGCCAUGCCAACACCUGCAAUUUUGGGAUUCAUCUCUGCAUCUAACAGAACAUUGCUAGAUUUUAGAUCACGAUGAAUAAUCCGUAGCCCAGAAUCUGCAUGAAGGUAAAGAAGUCCCCUAGCAACGCCUCCUAUGAUUUUGUAUCGCCUUUCCCAAUCCAAAUAUGAACUCUUUACUGAAUCUUCAAGAAAGAUCAACCAUAUUGCAUGCUUCAAAGCUCAAUUGUAUUAUAACUUCUAUCUCCGUUUCAAAAUAUAAGAUCACUUGCCUUUGUAUGUUACAAAGACAAAUUAUACAAAAAACAAUUAAUAUUAUAUUUUGGAACAGAGGGAGUAUUUAAUAUUUAUUACAAAAUCUCAGCUUUAAACAUUUUACGAACAUUCUUAUACUUAAAUACUCAUGGAAAUUAAAAGAGGUCAUCCACAAAGAAGGGCAGAGUUAUGUACUCUACCAAAUAUAUAUAUACAGAAGACAGAAUCCUUAUUUUUAGAAGGUAUAUUCAUGUAUUUGAAUUUUUAUUCAUAUAUAUGAUGGUCAUUUCACUAAUGUAAAGAGCACUAUAUAUAUAUAUAUAUAUAUAUGGAGUUUUUAGAAGUAUUGCUUACUGUAGAGGUGAUUAUCUAAGCUUCCAUUCUGCAUGUAUUCAUAAACAAGGAGGAGUUCCUUGUCUUCCUGGCAAUAUCCCAAGAACUUAACAAGAUUGCGAUGACUACAAUUUCCCAAGAAUUCUAUCUCCGUCUGCACCAACAACUUCAAAAACAAAUCUUAGCAAAAUUAAGUAGUCAAGAGAUUCUAUAACUAACUAUCACAUGUUAAAUGUCUCAGUAAUACACAUUACUGAACAUUCUUCAAAUUCUUUUGAGGAUAUACUCUACUUCAUUUCAGAUUGGUUUUCACUCUUCUCUCAUAUGUUCCUCCUUCAAGAUUGCAUAAUAUAACAGCAUUGUUGAAAUUCAUGUGCUCAUUUUCUAUAUGCAACAAUUUCUCUCUCUAAAAUGCUGAAAUUUCUCGACACGUUAAGUUAAGCUCCGAUGUGCUAAUUUCAUAGUAUUUUUUUGCAAACACUCAGCAACUUCAAAAGUCCAAUUUAGAUGCGCAAAGAUCGAUGGACAUAUAUAUAUAUAUAGAGAGAGAGAGUUUCUUUCUCCCAAAGAAAUUUGUUCUUUGUCUGAAUAUAUACUCCAUAAUAAACUGAGUAAGAAAAUAUUAGAAUGCUGAAAGUUAUGAAAGUUAGGUAAUAUAGUUGAUGUGUUCAAACUAGUCUCGUAAAGAACAGAUGUAAGAGUUAAUGAACUUUCCGCCCAUAAAAAAGUUUCAUGGAGGCUCAAACAUCAAAACUUGAGUUACUUCUAGGAAACGUAAUUUUCGACUGAGUCCGAAUAAUUUGUUGAUGUUAGUAGAAAGUCCAUAUUUAUCUCUAUUUAGAUAUUUAAAAAAAUAGGUAAUAUGAAAGGAAAAUUACCUGCCACUCUUCAAAUAUUUGCAUUCUCUUAACGGCAAUGGCCAUUCCAACACCAAACUCUGAUGGGGCGUAGGUUUUCUCAUGGACCCAACCUUCGUAAACUCUUCCAAACCCUCCCUUGCCCAACCUCGUAUCUGGUCUAAAGUGUCUUGUUGCUUUCCUCAACUCAGCUAAUGUGAAAAUUUUCAAAUUUGGGGCCAUAAUCCUGUUAUCGUUGCUUCUUCUGUUCCUUGAAGGCUUUGCAUCGCUAUGUCCUGAAAAAGGGAAGGACAAUCUAGGUAACAUGAUUAUAUGAAAAACUACCACAAACAUACCAAUGAAAACAUAUAGAACCCCAAAUCCUCGUCCAAAGACGAUUUCAGAGUCCUUCGACUCUGCAAAGCCAACUACAUACUUAUUUAAAAGGUUCUUGACAGAGAAUGAAGAAAAUACUCUAGCACAAUUUCCCAAAACCAAAAAUGGUUUGAUUUAUGGAUGUAAUUUUGUUCAGUUGUUGUCCCAUUAAGAAGAGACUUUCUGAGAAAUAGAUUCAUCUCAUCAACCAAUAUAUACGCUAUAUCACUAUAUUAUUGUGAAGGACCCAACCACUCCAAAAUUUCCAUGGUUUCUUAUCCUCUAUUCUUUUUGCUGAUUCUAGAAACUCAAUUGUUAAAAUAUUUUAGCUUCUUAAUGGUACGACUCGAAAUCGUCGCCGGGUCCGUCGCUAAAGGGGAGUGAGCACUGGUGAGUAAGAUAAGGGGUAUACACUUGAUCCUUGAUCUAUAUAUAUAUAUAUAUAUAUAAGAACGCACACGUUGGUAUAUGAAGCGUAUUACCAGAAAACAUCCGAGCUUUGCCGAAAAGAAACAGGCCGAUCUUUUCCGUAAAUUUCAUUCUGGCAGGAGACUGCUCAUCGUGAUGCCCUCCAUCAGCGUCAUUUAUUAUUCCAUCUUCCAAAGAACAAUUUUUAUUCUCUUGGUUGUGAUUAGCAUUCUCCACCUCAACCAUCGGAUAACCUAAAUGAUUAGCAUUCCCCCCAACCAUAGAGGAAUCGACAUGCUCUUGAUUGUAUUUCGUAAUCUGCUCCUCCAACUUAGAAGAACUAGCUUUCACAUUCACUUGGUCACAAUUAGUAAUUGGCGUCUCAACUAAAGUAUAAAUUGUGCCCCUCUCUUGCAAGGCCAAUGCCGACUCUAGACCAACCACAACCUCAGCCAUAGUUGGACGGAGUUUGGGUGCAUUGUGCAAACAUUGGAUCGCAACUCUCACAAAUGCCGCUAGGGAAUUGGGCAAGAUUUUCCCCUUGAUACUGGGAUCAAUUAUCUGCUCCAAGUGUCCUUCUUUGAAGCAGUGUUGCGCCCAUCCAGCUAAACCUCGUUGCUCUUCAUCCAGACUGUUAUCCACUGCCCGUCUUCCACACAAGGCUUCAAAUAACACAACACCCAAACUAUACACAUCAGAUUUCCUAGUCAGUGUGUGAGUUGCGAAAUAGUAUGGAUCCAGAUACCCGGGUGUACCUUUAACAUGGGUGCUUACAUAUGUAGAAAAUGGCUGAUUUGAUGGACCUAUUUUGGACAAUCCAAAGUCUGAAAUCUUGGCUGCCAUAUUUUCAUCUAACAGAAUGUUUGAACUCUUCACAUCGCGGUGUAUCACUCUGUGCUGAACACUUGUGCCUGUGUGAAGGUAGUCCAGUCCACGUGCAGCCCCAAUGCAAAUCUUGAGGCGUUGCUCCCAUGAUAGAGGAGGUGACGAAGUAACACCUUUCCUAGCCCUCUUAUGCAGAUGAUCAGCGAGGGUUCCACACGGCAUAUAUUCAUAAACAAGGAUCAUCU